UUUUGCAGAGCUCAUGUCACACUCACAUGUGAGAUUGCUCUGGAUUCUGGUUAUGUCGCCUGCAGCACCUAUAAGAACAAGCUCGUACAGUGUGCCUGCAUUCCAGCUUCUUAGACUUUACACAAGUGGACAGAGUAUCAGUGUUUGGCCACUCUUACAGACACCGACUUCUGUCAACUCACUGCUACUAAUCAGGCACCUCACUCCAGGAAGACAGAGGGCUGCAAGCCUGUCAUCGUUUCCAGUGUGACUUUGCAUUCUUGGAGUAGCAUCAGAUUUUUCCCACAAAUAUUCAAAGCUUUAGAUGCAGUGAUCGGAUAUGCUGGAGCUUUGUUAACAGUGUGGAAAACGUGUUUGUGAUGGUAUUUAAAAUGAGGCUUUAAGGUGACAGUUUCCAUGUAAUUUCAGUCCUUUUACUAAACAAAAACAUCUUUU